ACGAACGCUGGCGGCGUGCUUCACACAUGCAAGUCGAACGGAAAGGCCCUGCUUUUGUGGGGUGCUCGAGUGGCGAACGGGUGAGUAACACGUGAGUAACCUGCCCUUGACUUUGGGAUAACUUCAGGAAACUGGGGCUAAUACCGGAUAGGAGCUCCUGCUGCAUGGUGGGGGUUGGAAAGUUUCGGCGGUUGGGGAUGGACUCGCGGCUUAUCAGCUUGUUGGUGGGGUAGUGGCUUACCAAGGCUUUGACGGGUAGCCGGCCUGAGAGGGUGACCGGCCACAUUGGGACUGAGAUACGGCCCAGACUCCUACGGGAGGCAGCAGUGGGGAAUAUUGCACAAUGGGCGGAAGCCUGAUGCAGCAACGCCGCGUGCGGGAUGACGGCCUUCGGGUUGUAAACCGCUUUCGCCUGUGACGAAGCGUGAGUGACGGUAAUGGGUAAAGAAGCACCGACUAACUACGUG
rnacentral:rRNA from 1 species